rnacentral:lncRNA from 1 species
GGAGGCUCACCCUCUUGCUGUGGUGUGUGUGGGAGGGGCAGUGUGAAAAGGUCUGGCCCACCUGAGUCCCCUGGGCUGGUAGGAGAACUGGGGCCGGGCAGGGGGUGGUGUUGGAACAGGAGGGGUGGUGUGUGAGCCUCUGUGGGCAAAGACCCACCGUGGCCCACAGAGGCUCUUUCUCCUCAGACCCGGUGUGCUGUUACCAGAGCCUUCUAGAGGAAGUGUUCUCCGAGCUGAGGGCGGCUCUUUGAUUCUCCAGGCCACAAACCCCCGCAGCCCGGCCUGGCCAGAGGCGUGCCUGUGCAUCCCGGCAAGUGAGCGCCCAGGGACUCUCGGCCAGAGAGGCUGUGAGGGUGGCUUUGUGAGGAUGGCUUUGUGUGGCUGCACAUUGCCCUUGGCCAAGCCCCGCUGCCAGGAGAGGCAGCUCGGCUGCCAAACCUCCUGAACCCAAGUUACCUGAGCAAGCAGCCCUAUCCCCUCGCCUGCUUCUCACUGCCUCGCCUGCCUUGGGCCUGCCCGACCCAGGGGGUCACAUGCCUUGUUCCCCAUCAGUGGAGACCAGGGACAAGAAGACAGUUCUGUGGGAAGAGCCAGGAGGACCAUUUGGGAAAAUACAGGUUCCAGGUGUGUCUCCAGACCUUGAGAGUUGGUGUCUCCUGGGAAGAGGCCCUGAUGAGAUCUGGGGAGAUUCGGAUCUGAUGAGAUUCAGGAAGCCCUGGCCUCUCCGUACUUGAGGAGACGGGACACACAGGACAAGCUGCAGGCUGGUGAGCAGGUUCACCUUCUAUUUUGAAGACCCGCUUCUUCCUCAGGUACCUGAUCUUGAAAACGACCUCCCCUUUCAGUUCUGGAGGCCAGAAGCCCAAAAUCAGUCUCGCUGGGCUAACGUGAAGGUGUCAGUCGGGCUGGUUCCUUCUGGAGGCUCCAGAAAAGAAUCUGUUUUCUUGCCUUUUCUGGCUCAGUUUCUCGGCUUGUGGCUCCUUCCUCCAUCUUCAAAGAGCACCACUCCAAUCUGCUCCUCCAUCAGGUCACCUUCUGCCUGACUCCUACAUCCCUUUCAGAAGGACCCUUGUGAUUCCAUGAGGUCCACCCAGAUCACGCAGGAUAAUGUCCCCGUCUCAAGAGGCUUAAUCUAAUCACAGGUCUUGCUUCCCCUCAACCCAGACACCGACUCGCCCAAGGGUCUUCCAGCUGGCUGAGUUGGAACCUGCAUUUUUUAACCACAAGGAAAAGAAGCCCAGAGCUACCAAGAAUAAUAUUUUAUUGACUUGGAAUGAGUUUUGGAAUCUGUAUUUUUAACAAGCUGCCCAGUGAAAACCAUUUCCUCCUCGUCGUGGCGCAGGUCCAGAGGCUGCGCCCAUCUCUCCCACGUCAACAGUCCUGUGUCCUUGGCGAAGGACUGUUCUCUCAUUCAGUGCCUUUCCUCUCUUCCUGGGCCAAAUCCCUGCUUUGCGUCUCCCUGCAGCUCAUAAAAAGCUGAAUUACCUGAGGCAGGGAAAGCCCCACCCACUGUCAUUCUCAGGGAGGAGUGGAGUCUGCAGAGGCCGCAAUGCACAGCUUCCCUAUCCCCCUCCACCCGUGUUUUCCCAGAGCAGCUCUGUUCCAGGCCCGGGGGUGUCCCUGGGCCGAGAUGGAAUCCAGCCCUGACCACCUCCCAAAGCCAACAGCCCUGAGUGAGCGUGCAGAGAAGCAAGAGCUGUUCCUGAUGCAGAGCAAAGACAUCUCCCAGUCAAGGGGGAUGAACUGAUUUGGGACAAAAGGCAGUUGUUGGCUGAGGAAGGCAGGAUCUGGGGGAGCCCUGUGCUGAGUGGAGGUGGGUGGGUGUAUUUCCUUGGCUCACAGAGGCCUCUUGUCUGGUGGGAUCAGCUCCUCCAGCCAGUUGCCACCUGGUCCAGCUUUGGGAGAUGUGGAGAAUGACUUUCGCAGUGAUUUCCACUGGGCCAUGGCAUUGAAACAGCUGCAGGAGGGGACACAGCUGGUGCCACCCCUACUCCGUCCAUUAGAGCUGCUGUGAAGGAAUGCCACCCUCCCCAUGGGGAGUGAGGGGGCCCUACUUGCUGUGGUUGGUUCCAGGGACCAUGGGAAGAGGCAAACCCCUAUUUUCAAGGGCACAAGUUGGCUUUUAUUAAAAUAAAAUUUCAUCAUCACUUAUUCCAGUGGCUCCCAAACUUGGCUAAACAUCAGGAUCACCCAGGAUGUUUGUUAAAAAAUAAAGAUUAUGGCCGGGUGCAGUGGCUCACGCCUGUAAUCCUAGCACUUUGGGAGGCCCAGGCGGGCAGAUCACUUGAGGUCAAGAAUUCGAGACCAGCCUGGCCAACAUGGGGAAAUGCUGUCUCUACUAAAAAUACAAAAAUUAGCUGGGUGUGGUGGUGCAUACCUGUAACCCCAGCUACUCGGAGGCAGAGGCAGGAGAAUUGCUUGAACUUGGGAGGCAAAGGUGGCAGUGAGUCGAGAUAGCGCCACUGCACUGCACUCCAGCCUGGGUGACAGUGCGAGACUCUUGUCUCAAAAAAAAAAAAAAAAAGAUUAAUAAAAAUAAAGAGUUUUAGAACUCAUCCUAGACGGAAUCAAUCAGAAUCUCUUUGGGUAGGCUUGGGCUGGAAUCAGUGCGAAAUCUGACUAAUCAGAUUGCUUUCCUGAUUCCAGACGGUUGAGCCCAUAGAACAGGAGUGAGAAGAUGGAAGGGCGAGGGGGCUGGGAUGAUGAAAACUUGCGCCUGCAGCCACCAUUCAUUACAGAGCGCCGGGGGCCAGCUGCAGAACUGUAGACUCCUCAUACAUCAUCGUGUUGAGUCUUCAAAACAAACCUAUGAGGCUGGAGUGCAGCAGCGCGAUCUCGGCUCACUGCAACUUCCACCUCCUGGUUUCAAGCAAUUCUCCCGCCUCAGCCUCCCGAGUAGCUGGGAUUACAAGCACCCGCCACCAUGCCCGGCUAAUUUUUAUAUUUUUAGCAGAGGCGGGAUUUCUCCAUGUAGCCCAGGCCGGUCUCGAACUCCUGACCUCAAGUGAUCCACCCACCUCAGCCUCCCAAAGUGCUGGGAUUACAGGUGUGAGCCACCAUGCCCCGCCAGCCAUCAGAGUUUUAUAGCAAGAAUUUUUACCUUUGUCCUUAGUGCAAUGGGAAAUCCUUGAAACGCUAUUAUUGCCUUCCUCUGCAAGGAAAGGUUAUUUUGGUGAGCAGUGGAUAGAGGAAAUGCAGAGGGAGCCACUAAAGGGUUCUGGUGAGAUCUGGAGCCCUGCUGGGAUAAUCUGACCAGAGAAAGCAAAGAUUCCAGAGAGCUAGGCACACUUGCCCUACCUCCAGCUGCACACAGCUGGUUCCAGCUUUGUCCUGACCUUCAGUCUGGCAUACAGGGUAGACCCACUGGUACCUGGUACCUCACUCUGGGGGUGAGGUGGCCACCCACCUAGGUCUGGGUCCUGUAGCAGUUUGGCAGCAACAUCUGGGUGAUAAGAGAAGGCGAUUUGACCUACUCCCAGGGACAAGAAGCUUUGACUCUUCAAGAUCAUAAAGUCUUCCCUCCUGGCCUUGGGUCCUCCUGUUGCGGGAGAGGUGAGGUGGGGUGAGGGUCCUCCGGGAGGGCAGGCUUGGCAGAGCCCAGCACCAUCUCAGCAGACACUGCUCUUCUCCUACUCUCAGCACCUCCAAGGCAGUGAGUGGCUUUCUCUUGUCUAGAGGACAAAAUCCGUUCCUCACCUGGACACAAUGAACCUGUCUGUGGGAUUUAGGGAGCAUCAAGGAGGGAAUUUAGUUUCCGCAGACUUCAAGGAAGACUUUCUGGAGGAGGUGAUGCCUGAGAGCUAUCCAGGAGAGAAGAGUGAAAAAAUGUUAAGCAGUGGAAAAACAUGAACCAAACUGUGGCUGCAUCUUCCCAUAGGGCAACAGGGACUUAGCGCGUGCAAUCAAGGAUCUCCAGAUGGGGAUAACCCAGGUGUGCCCAACCUAAUCUCAGUGUCCUUGGAAGAGGGAUGCAGAAGGAGUCAGAAUCAGAGAAGAAGGUGACACGAUGAAGGAAUCCGAAAUUAGAGUGAUGCUCUUUGAAGAUGGAGGAAGGGACCACAAGCUGAGAAAUAGAGGUGGCCACUAGACACUGAAAAAGGCAAGGAAGUGGAUUCUCCCCUGGAGCCUCCAGAAGGAACCAGCUCUGCCGACACCUUGACAUUAGCCCAUUGAGACUGAUUUAAGGGCUGCUGGCCUCCAGAAUUGUAAGAGAAUAAACGUGUGUUGUUUAAGGCCCUUGGUUAGUAGCGAUUUGCUACAGCAGCUGCAGAAACCUAAUAAGUAUAGGUUCCACCUAGAGACGCAGAACUAGCCAGCGGCCGAUCCUGCUCCGGGACCCUGCAGGCCCCAGCUCUAUGGAAUCCUGUCGCACACGGGAUGGACGUGGGCUAGAGGCGGAGGAAGGGGAGGAAGUGAAGAUCUUCAGACUAAGAUGGAUGAAGCUGAAUUCAGAUCUCAGCUCCAAGGUGAAUGAGCAAACAGCACAGAAAAAGAAACAGCAGUAUAUGUGGAAGAAAGCAAGAAAAAUCAACUGGCCUGGAACCUAAGACUUGUCCAAAGAUGUCACAGAGAGUAAAAUGAGAAAAAUCCAGUAGCCCGUGCCCAGAGCAGUUCCUCGUACCCAGCAGAAGGCUAACAAGCCCUGAGAUGAAUGAUGCUCUUCCCAAGGAAGGCAGAGGAGGCGACAGUCCAUUUGCGUUCUCUCCUCUGCAAGUACAGGAUCUCGUUUGAUUCUCAAAACCACCCUAGAGGAGACAGGAGGCACCUGAGGCCCAGAGACGUGAAGCCACCUGUCCAAGGCCAUACAGCAGAUAACUUAUUCUGGAGGAAGACACCUGCCAUGCCGUGAGGACAGUCAAGCAGUUCUGUGGAGAGAUCCAUGUGGUGAGAAACAGGGGCCUCCUGUCAACAGGAAGAACAACCUGGCAGGCCUGUCUUGGAUUCAGAGCCUCCAGCCCCAGUCGAGCCUUCAGAUAACUGCACCCUUGGCUGUCAUCUCAACUGCAAUCUCACGACAGACCCUGAGCUGGAACUACUCUGUUUACCAAUGCCUGGCCCACAGAAAGACUAUGAGAUAAAACAAGUAUAUUGUUUUUAGAAGAUAUGUUUUGGAGUAAUUUAUUAUGCUACAAUAGAUAAUACAGAAUUUGGUGAUUUUAUGAUUCUCAACUCCUGGCCAAAGCAAAGCACACAACAAGUCUCAAAGAAAAGUCUCACAAGUGGAAUUGAAAGUACAAAGCUGGCCAGACAAGCUUGUGCAGACAUGUAUGUGGUGGAGUUGAAAAUCACACACUACGACUCACACAAAUGAGAAACCCGAGGCUCAGAGAGGCCCUGUAAUUUGCUCAAGAACAAGAAACCACUACAUCUGAGAUCUUAUCCUUCUGACCCCUCGAUCCGGGUCUUUGCACAGGCAUGGCACCACUCUUGAGUACCCAAGUUAAAAUUCCAGCUCUAUCCUUUAGGAAUUUGACCUUGGCCAAGUUCUCAAAGUCUCCUGUGCCUUACUUUAAAAAAUACGUUUCUUUAAUAAAUGCACCUCAAUAAAGUUAUUGAGGGAUAAUUUACAUACAACAAAUGCACAGAUUUUAUGUGCCCAGCUUGAUGAAUUUUGACAAAUGGAUACCCCCAUGUAAUAACCACACAGUCAAGACGUGGAACAUUGUUCUUACCCCAGAAAGCCCUUCCUUCCGUGCAAACAAAAGGAAGCAAACAAAACUAUCUGCCUCAUAGUGUUAGGAAAAUCGAAUGAGAUAAUACAGGUGAGAUCCUUAGCAAGGCGCCUGGCACGCAGGAAACGCUGGAUAAAUGCAUUGCUAUCAUUCCCUGGCUGUCCCCCUCCUUGACUGGGGCAGGGAUCAGGGCAUAUGCUGAACCAUCUCCCUUCUCCAGCCUAAGGCCAUUUAGCCAGACUAGAAGAAGACUCGGGGGGAUGGAAUAUGUGUCUUGGAGGAGACUUGGAACCAUUUUCGUAAGUCUCCAGAAGCCAUGAUGGGGCUGGGGGUGGAGGAAUUGGCCAGCUUUUGCCUAUGUCUGGCCCAAAGAUAGGGUUUUGCAAUCAUAGCUCACUGAAACCUCAAACUCCUGGGCUCAAGCUGUCCUGUCUCAGCCUUUUGAUUAGCUGGGACUACAGGUAUAUAUGCCGCCAUGCCAUGCUAAUUUUUAAAUUUUUUGUAGAGACGGAGUCUUGCUAUGCUUCCCAGGCUGGCCUCAAACUCCUGGCCUCAAGUGAUCCUCCCGCCUUAGCCUCCCAAAGUAAGCCUGGCCAUCCUCUGUUCUUUUGAGACUCAAAGGAUGAAGGCGCUCAUGGCAGGGCCAGCUUCACAGGUUGGUGACCAAGGCAGCUGCACAGGGCCUUGCUGUCAGAAAGUCCCCACAACUUGGAUUAAUG